rnacentral:piRNA from 1 species
UAAUUGCACUGGUUGGAAGUAUUGUU